AGAAAAGUAAGCUAAGUAAGCUAAUGGGUUCAUACCCCAUAUAUAGAGUAAAGUAAGCCCCUCUCUUUUCUA
rnacentral:tRNA from 1 species